GAUAAUCCAUUAAAGCCCACAUUGCCAACGACCCACCUGUUAUUCAUCUCCUUCCUGAAACCAUGCCCCGGGGCGCUGUCAUUGUUGCCGUUGCAGUCUCCACAUGCACCGCCUCCCCUUUCCUAUCCUCUCUCUGCUCCAUGGAGCCGUCGUCGCCUGCCGUGUUUCUCGAACAGGCCGCCGUCCAAGGGAGGCGCUGGGGACCGAGCCUAGCCCCACGGGAGCGCCUCAUCUACUCUCUCUCUGAUCCCACCGAUGCCCUCUUCAGCUCCUCCUCCUCCUCUUCUCCCCUACCCCUAGCCGAGGUAAAGAUCCCCCACCACCACCCUCUGGAUUCAUCUAGAACAGUAACUUUUCAUGAGCAUCCAUGGAUAUGUCUUGGCUGGUGAUUCAUGACAGGACAAAUCACAGUACCUUGGACCUGGAGUGGUAAUCUGACAUUUGGGAGGGCUGGUGUGUCGUUGAUUGCAUAAAGUUUAUGCAUGGAACAAGCUAUUUUUUCUUUUAUGAUGCAGGCAUGCUUUGUACGUAUGUCGCUGCAGAUUAUAUUAAUGUAUCAGUGGUACUAUGCAUCUAUUUGCAAUACAUGGUAUGAUGGAAAAGAGCUGCUUUGCUAAUAUGUGGUACUAUGCGGACACUACGUACGUCACUUAAAAAUUAACUGGACUAUGACAUAAUCCCACGUAAGCAGUGGUGGCCGAUGCGGGCAAGUCCCACCACAUCCAACGAACUGCCCAUUUACAUCCGUGAGAUAAAUUAGUGGUUGAUGCUUCAAGCGGCGCGGGUUGAGAUGGCAGAGAGGGUAACGACGUCGGAGGCACGACGAGGUGGCGGAUCGAAGGGUUGUCGGUAGGG
rnacentral:lncRNA from 1 species